rfam:Heterocephalus glaber contig52090, whole genome shotgun sequence.
AGCUUUGCGCAGCGGCAGUAUCGUAGCCAAUGAGGUUUAUCGGAGGCGCAAUUAUUGUUAAAUGUCUUGCUACUCUUAUGAACAAAGGUUAAUUUUAACUUCUAAGAGAAAAAUAUUAUU